rnacentral:rRNA from 1 species
UACGGGGGGGGCAAGCGUUGUUCGGAAUUACUGGGCGUAAAGGGCUCGUAGGCGGCCAACUAAGUCGGAUGUGAAAUCCCCAGGCUUAACCUGGGAACUGCAUCCGAUACUGGAUGGCUUGAAUUCGGGAGAGGGAUGCAGAAUUCCAGGUGUAGCGGUGAAAUGCGUAGAUAUCGAGAGGAACACCUGCGGCGAAGGCGGGUAGCUGGGCCGACACUGACGCUGAUGCGCGAAAGCCAGGGGAGCGAACGGG